UACAAUAAAUGCGAGAUAAAGAAAAAGUCGCCAGCCAAAAUAGAAUUCAGAGGCACUUCCCAUUUGUCAUCAGGAUCGCGACUUUGCUAUCCUUAAAAGCUAAAAGACACAUGGUAGUGUCAGAAAACUCUGUUCAAAGGCAGCUUCCUACUUGCUUCAUCACUUCUAAUUUCUAUACUUCUUUUCGCCCCUCUUACCUGGAAAUACUUGCAGACCCAAUUCAUUUUUGGUUUAUUAUAAAUUUGGAAUCUCGGCCACAGAGAUGAUGACAGUAAAAAAAGAGGCAGAGAUAAGAAACCUCAAGCUUUAGCUUCAACUGUUUCAUUUCAAAUCAGACUAGAAUUCUUUCUUCAUCUCACAUCCCUUAAUCACACAAAGCCCACAUGGAUUCAAAACCAAAUCAGCUUCAUAUGGUCUUCUUCCCAUAUGCGAUACGAAGCCAUAUGAUUGCAACCAUAGACCUGGCCAGGCUCUUAGCCAAGCAAGGAGUGAAGGCAACCAUUGUUACUACUGCUAUUUGUGCAACUCGCUUCUCUGAAACAAUUGAAAGAGAUAGAGAAUUGGGAGUUGAAAUUAGUAUAAGAAUCAUAAAAUUCCCUUCCGUAGAGGCAGGCCUGCCAGAAGGAUGUGAGGAUUCAAGUUCCCUCACUACGCCAGAAAUGAUUCCAAAGUUCCUUCAUGCGCUUACGUUGCUUCAACAUCCACUUACGGAGGUCCUAGAAGAAUGCCAGCCUGAUUGUCUUGUGGCUGACAUGAUGUUUCCAUGGGCUACGGGAGUUGCAGGAAAUCUUGGGAUUCCUAGGUUGUAUUUUGAUGGAUCUAGCUUCAUUUCUAUGUGUGUCACCGAUUCUCUUAAACGAUAUCAGCCUUACAAAAAUGUGGAGUCUGAUUUUGAACCAUUCAUAGUGCCUGGUCUACCGCACCAGAUAACGAUGACAAAACUCCAAUUGCCAACUUAUUUUACAGACACAACUGAUAAGCAUGGAUUUCACAAGCUGAUGGAUCAAAUUUUGGAAUCUGAUCUCAAAAGCUAUGGAGUCCUCAUGAAUAGUUUCCGUGAGCUAGAGCCAGCUUAUUCAGAACAUUACACAAAGAACAUGGGAAGGAAGGCAUGGCACAUUGGCCCUCUCUCGCUUUUCAAUAGCGAAACCAAAGAUAAAGCACAGAGAGGUGAUAAAGCCUCCAUUGAUGAACAUGAAUGCCUAAGAUGGUUAGACACAAAGAAAACCAAUUCAGUCUUAUAUAUAUGCUUUGGGAGCGUAUUCAAGGUUCCACCUCCUCAAUUACGUGAGCUCGCUAUGGCUCUUGAAACUUGUGCACUAAACUUCAUUUGGGUUGUGAGAAUGGAAGAGAACAAAGAGAAAGAAGAAAAGAAAGAAUGGCUGCCAGAAGGAUUUGAGAAGAGAAUGGAGGGGAAGGGUUUGAUUAUAAGAGGAUGGGCACCCCAAUUGUUGAUUCUUGAACAUGAAGCUGUUGCAGGGUUUAUGACUCAUUGUGGAUGGAAC
rnacentral:misc_RNA from 1 species